GCCGCCCACUGAACUAAGUCAGAGAUGAAAGCUGUACAGCGGUCUUUGCUAACGGUGUGUGCAUGCCUAUGAAAGAAACCACACACACAUGCGAAGCAGAAUUUCUUCAGUGUACUGAGUUGUGGUGACAUUAAAUGGGUUAUUCCCGCAUACCUGAUGCUUCAUAGCGUGUGUAUCAAACGUUAAAUUCUCAUAACAGAAAGAAGAGCUAGCAGUAGCAACUCAUUUUGACAUUUUCCUUUUCUGUUGUUCUCUGGUUACUGUGGAGGUAGUCUGACAGUUCAUCCACCUGCCUCAUCUGAAGCUUUCUUCGAUAGCUCGUUUUGUCUGUGGACACAUGCAGCACCAAGACUUGCCUUUUCAGGCACAAAGGUCACACUGAUGAAUUCCAGAAAUCUUUUGCCUCUUCAGUUAUUGAGCGAGUUACAAGGGUUAAAUGUAAUAUUGAAAAAAACAAUCGUCUAGUUUUUGUUUCCUCAAUCUACAUACACUGCUUCAACACACUUCCACCAGGCUGGUUCAACUCGUCCUCAAAAGCAUAUUUCUUAAGCUUCUAAAACAUACCAGAAUAUAAUAUUAAUCCUGCAAGGAAAAGGAACGCUGUGAUUUGUUUUUACAACCACAUUUGUAUAUGAGUGUGUAUGAGACCUCCUUCUGCACAUGCUCAGACUUGAGAGUCCUUGCAUACAAACCACAUCCUGAUUCACUCAAGAUAAAAGAUCUGCUGUAGGUUUGAGGAUUUUACCAAAUCAGCUCACCUGUUCAAACAGAUCACUUCAAACUCCUAGACAAACCAUGGAUUUUGAGAACAGCAUAGAAGGAUGUAAACACUGCAACAAGAAUUGCAAUAACAAUUGCCAAUGUCAUUGUCAUACAAUAACCCAAAGUCCUAAACCUAAGCAAAGGACUGAGGAGAAGACGUGUGAAGGGCCUUCAAAAGAGUGCGGCUCCUGUGAUUUCAUCCCCUGUGAUUGUGACUCCUGUGACUGCGGCUCCUGUGACUGCAGCUCCUGUGAUUAUGGCCCCUGUGAUUGUGACUCCUGUGACUGUGGCUCUUGUGACUGUGGCUCCUGUGAUUGCGACUCCUGUGAUGGUGGCGCCGGUGAUGGUGGCUCAUAUCAUUGCGGCUCCUGUCAUUGUGGCCCCUGUGAUUGUGGCCCUUGUGAUUGCGGCUCCUGUGAUUGUGGCUCCUGUGAUUGCGGCUCCUGUAUUAUUCAGUGAAUGUUUGCAGGAUGUUGGUCAGACAGAUGGAUUUGUGGAGACAACGCAGUACUCAGGACAGGUUUCAGCUCCAGUGUAAAACCUCAUCAACACAAAGACAACAGCACUAUGAUCUACAAUAAACAUCAGGACAUCUGUAGUGCAAUCGUGGAUGUUAAACAUCAUAAAGACAAUAUUAUCUAUACAUAUAAAUACAGUUCCAACCAAAAUAUCAAAGUAAAUUAAAUAGCAAAUCAGUUCAGUUAAAUGUUUUAUUUUUUUUUCAGUUCUGUAUCUGUAUUUUUAAGAAAAUGUGUCUGUUUUAAUUUAAAAAAAAAAAAAGUUUGAUUUUACAACAACGAGACCAUUGUCUCCCAACUCUGAGAUGAUUUUUAUAAUUUUUGUAAACAUGCAUUAUGCACUCAUUAUUUGUGUGUGUGUGUGUGGGGGGGGGGUGCUCUUCAUGAUAGUCAUGUGACACUUCAGCCAAGAUAGUACUGUAUAACUGAUAUAGGCUUAUGUCUUAUUUUAUGUUUUAUCUUUAAUUUUUUUUUUUAUUCUAAGUAUUCCUAAACAGGUUAACUAUAGGUGCAUCUCAAUAAAUUAGAAUGUUGUGGAAAGUUCAUUUAUUUCAGUAAUUCAUCUCAAAUUGUGAAAGUCAUGUAUUAAAUAAAUUCAAUGCACACAGACUGAAGUAGUUUAAGUCUUUG
ensembl:lncRNA